GGCUUCGUAGCUCAGUCGGCAGAGCGCCUGACUGUUAAUCAGGAGGUCGGCAGUUCGAGUCUGCCCGAAGCCG
rnacentral:tRNA from 1 species